rnacentral:rRNA from 1 species
CUGACGGAGCACGCCGCGUGAGUGAUGAAGGGUUUCGGCUCGUAAAACUCUGUUAUUAGGGAAGAACAAACGUGUAAGUAACUGUGCACGUCUUGACGGUACCUAAUCAGAAAGCCACGGCUAACUACGUGCCAGCAGCC